rnacentral:rRNA from 1 species
UACAGAGACUGCAAGCGUUGUUCGGAUUCAUUGGGCGUAAAGGGUCCGUAGGCGGUCGGUUAAGUCGGAUGUGAAAUCUCGUGGCCUAACCACGAGCGGUCAUUCGAAACUAAUCGGCUAGAGGGCUGGAGAGGAGACUGGAAUUGUCGGUGUAGCGGUGAAAUGCGCAGAUAUCAGGAGGAACACCAAUGGCGAAGGCAGCUCGCUGGAACGGUACUGACGCUGAGGCGCGAAAGCGUGGGGAGCGAACAGG